UUUAUGGAGAGUUUGAUCCUGGCUCAGGAUGAACGCUGGCGGCGUGCCUAAUACAUGCAAGUCGAGCGAACAGAUAAGGAGCUUGCUCCUUUGACGUUAGCGGCGGACGGGUGAGUAACACGUGGGUAACCUACCUAUAAGACUGGAAUAACUCCGGGAAACCGGGGCUAAUGCCGGAUAACAUGUUGAACCGCAUGGUUCUACAGUGAAAGACGGUCUUGCUGUCACUUAUAGAUGGACCCGCGCCGUAUUAGCUAGUUGGUGGGGUAACGGCCUACCAAGGCGACGAUACGUAGCCGACCUGAGAGGGUGAUCGGCCACACUGGAACUGAGACACGGUCCAGACUCCUACGGGAGGCAGCAGUAGGGAAUCUUCCGCAAUGGGCGAAAGCCUGACGGAGCAACGCCGCGUGAGUGAUGAAGGUCUUCGGAUCGUAAAGCUCUGUUGUUAGGGAAGAACAAAUGUGUAAGUAACUGUGCACAUCUUGACGGUACCUAACCAGAAAGCCA
rnacentral:rRNA from 1 species